AUACGUAGGGGGCGAGCGUUGUCCGGAAUGAUUGGGCGUAAAGGGCGCGUAGGCGGCCCAGUAAGUCUGGAGUGAAAGUCCUGCUUUCAAGGUGGGAAUUGCUUUGGAUACUGCCGCGCUUGAGUGCAGGAGAGGUUAUCGGAAUUCCCGGUGUAGCGGUGAAAUGCGUAGAGAUCGGGAGGAACACCAGUGGCGAAGGCGGGUAACUGGACUGCAACUGACGCUGAGGCGCGAAAGUGUGGGGAGCAAACAGGAUUAGAUACCCUGGUAGUCCACACUGUAAACGAUGAAUGCUAGGUGUAAGAGGUAUCGACCCCUUUUGUGCCGGAGUCAACACAAUAAGCAUUCCGCCUGAGGAGUACGGCCGCAAGGUUGAAACUUAAAGGAAUUGGCGGGG
rnacentral:rRNA from 1 species